UCGAGUAAGGUAAGUAAACCUAAAUGAGAACACCUGGGUUAAGCCUGAUUACGUUAAGUAUGAGCACAUGCUGUUGGUCUAAUGGUGCUCAUAAAACCCGGACUGGAAUAGAAAACACCAUUACUGGUGUGAAUCUUGAGACAAUGGCAGAGGCAAAAAUAAUUAGUUGAAAAAACUUUAGUGAGUAUGAAAAAACACUACUAAAACUAAAAUAGUGGUUGGGCUGCAAUUUGUAGUGAAUUCAAUGCAGAUGAAAAUGUAAACACAAGAAGAGUACAGCAACUUCAGACUCUGUGGAAUAAUCUUAAACUGGCUUUAAAAAAGAGAGAAUGCAGAGAUCAGAAGAGAGCGAUUUACUACCGGUUGGUUGAUCACCAAAAAAAGACAAGACUGAUGAAUUGAGUGACUUGCUGUCUGGAGUAAAAGGGCACCAGCAACCUCUGGAUGGUAUACCAGAUGAUGACCAACCUCUGGAUAGUAUACCAGAUGAUGACCAUUUGGGCAGUCCAGAUGAAGAACUGAGCACAAAUGAGGAAGGGAAUCUGAACAGGUUGGAAGAGCCAGUGCACAGUGAGUGUGUACCCUCCAUCUGCUAUAGCAUCCCUGAGAGAAGAUGCUGCCACCACCUUUCAGCAGAGAACAAAAAAGAUGACCAUGCAUGAGAAGUUAGCCAGAGAAUUUCAUGAGCAUAAAAUGAAAUAGCUGAAGGAAGAACAUGAAAUGAAAAUAAGAAUUCUACAGGUUGAAUUGGAUAUGAAGUCGGAAGAGAGCAGUGUGAUCCAAAAAAGAUAAGACAAUUGUGAUUACCAGCCAUGGUGAACAAUAUGAUAUGUAAAAAAUAAAUGUUUUGUCAUUUGGA